CCAAUAGCGUAUAUUAAAGUUGUUGCAGUUAAAAAGCUCGUAGUUGAAUUUCGGGAUUGACGUGACGGUCAUGCCUUAAGGGGUAUGAACUGUUGCUGUUGAUUUCUCACCUUCUGGAGAAACUUGAUGUCCUUUAUUGGGUGUCUUGCGGAUCCAGGACCUUUACCUUGAAAAAAUUAGAGUGUUUAAAGCAGGCAUUUUUGCUCGAAUACAUUAGCAUGGAAUAAUAGAAUAGGACGGCAUGGUUCUAUUUUGUUGGUUUCUAGGAUCACCGUAAUGAUUAAUAGGGAUAGUUGGGGGCAUUAGUAUUCAAUUGUCAGAGGUGAAAUUCUUGGAUUUAUUGAAGACUAACUACUGCGAAAGCAUUUGCCAAGGAUGUUUUCAUUAAUCAAGAACGAAAGUUAGGGGAUCGAAGACGAUCAGAUACCGUCGUAGUCUUAACCAUAAACUAUGCCGACUAGGAAUCAGACGAUGUUAAUUUUUUAAUGACUCGUUUGGCACCUUACG
rnacentral:misc_RNA from 1 species